CUACGGGAUGCUGCAGUGAGGAAUAUUGCACAAUGGGGGGAACCCUGAUGCAGCAACGCCGCGUGGAGGAUGACGCAUUUCGGUGUGUAAACUCCUUUUAUAUGUCAAGAAAAUGACGGUAGCAUAUGAAUAAGCACCGGCUAACUCCGUGCCAGCAGCCGCGGUAAUACGGAGGGUGCAAGCGUUACUCGGAAUCACUGGGCGUAAAGGACGCGUAGGCGGGUUGGAAAGUCAGGUGUGAAAUCCUACAGCUUAACUGGAGAACUGCACUUGAAACUUCCAAUCUAGAGUAUGGGAGGGGGAGAUGGAAUUAGUGGUGUAGGGGUAAAAUCCGUAGAUAUCACUAGGAAUACCUAAAGCGAAGGCGAUCUCCUGGAACAUUACUGACGCUAAGGCGUGAAAGCGUGGGGAGCAAACAGGAUUAGAUACCCCCGUAGUC
rnacentral:rRNA from 1 species